rnacentral:rRNA from 1 species
UACAGAGGUCCCAAGCGUUGUUCGGAUUCAUUGGGCGUAAAGGGUGCGUAGGUGGCGCUGUAAGUCGGGUGUGAAAUUUCGGAGCUUAACUCCGAAACUGCAUUCGAUACUGCGGUGCUUGAGGACUGGAGAGGAGACUGGAAUUUACGGUGUAGCGGUGAAAUGCGUAGAUAUCGUAAGGAAGACCAGUGGCGAAGGCGGGUCUCUGGGACGGUACUGACGCUGAGACGCGAAAGCGUGGGGAGCGAACAGG